CAAGAUUGAGUUGUUUCAAUAAAAUUUCCAGCUUUUCAUAAAAAUCUACAUUUGAUGAAGGAGGCCUAUAAAUAACUACAAGAAUAAAAGACAUUUGCUGUGACAAGGAAACAGCUAGUCCAAAAAAUUCUAAUCCAUUCUCAUCGAUAACACGUAUCUCUUGACAAUUAUAAGUGUCCUUGGCAUAAAUCAUAACGCCACCUCCCUUGGAACCCUGUCUGUCUUUUCUAAACAUUUUUUAACCAGGUACAGAUAGUACUGCUGAGGGCGAAGAUUCACAGAGCCACAUCUCAGAUAGGCAAAGGAAGUCAAUAUUGAAGUCAGUGAGAAGGUGAUGGACCUGAUCACUUUUGUUAAAAUACUUCGUAUAUUUAAGUGUGCACAAAGAAUGCCUUUUGGUUUAUGUGUUGGGUCCCAUAUUAGUUUAGAGUUAUUAACGGUUUGAAACACCCUGAAUUUCCGGUGUUUUAAUAUUGCGGGAUUUGGCAGCCUUCUGUUUCUUUUAUUGGCAGUGUUUGCAUGUACCUUUACGCUGCCAUCCCCCAAACCCACAGGAGAGCGAAGACGGGGCCCCAGCCCCACCCGCCAGCACAACAGAACCCCGGCGACCAGAGGACAACGAGACGGUCGUCACAGCGCACACACUCGAUGCUGUCCCUGGCAAAUGUGGUGAUCCGGCCAGUGCUGGCAGUGAUCCGUCCAGCGCCAACUGCAGACAAACCGGUGCCAGCAGAGGCCCAGCCAGGGGGCGAUGACGACUCAAACACCAACGGAAGUGGCCUGGCCAUCACCGAAGGUUUCCCAAGGGGACGCUACUGAGAAGCUGGCUCACCAAGUCGCGGCCCAGGUUGCUGCUGCUGAUCGCAGGGUUGAAGAGGCCUCAGGUGACCCUCAUGAGGAGGAAAAGGAUGAAGCGCACAAAAGUAGCAAAGGCCACGUAAGCGAACCUGCAGCCGAAUGCCCCACUUCACCUGAGUUCUUCACAGAGAGGAUCUGCUCGUUAGAUAUGGAAUACAGAGAGAAGGAAGCCCUAUGUGUUGGAUCUUUGCCCCAGCAACGAACUAAAAUCCAAGAACCACAAAACAGAAUGAAGUCAGAGGAUGAACCACAGAUAUUAAGACCUCCAGAUUAAUCCGGAUCACACCCAGACCUGGACUACCAGCUUCACCCUUUCUUUAAAUACCCAUCUGUUUUGGCUCAUUAGACUGUAACGACUGUGGCUUGUAGAUUAUUACUAUCCAAAGACAAACUGUUGGUAGAACAAACCCUGCUGUCCUCGUGUUUUCAGUUCCGACUCUUUCAGGUUUGAGUCUCAGAGGAGUUCAAACCACCUGCUGAUUAAACUCUCUGACGGGACGAAAACUCCUGCCUCACGUUCUUCUGUCCCACCAAGACCUUUAAAGCAGCUCACUUUCACACAACACAGAGUUCUACAUGACAUACAUCAAGGAAAUGUGACCUUCAGCACAUUGAGGCCAAGAUGACAGGGCCAUUUGUAAUGUCAAGGUUCAGACACACGAACUAAAAUUAAAGGUUGCUCGUGCAGGGACUAAAUUAGUCAUGUUUGCAGACUGGAUAUGAUGGGUUUUAGCUUUUUGAAACUCUUUGAACAGAAACCCUUUUCCAUUGUGUUUGUCUGUACAUAAUGGUAGCAUCUACAAAGGCUCAAGCGACAGUGUGAGAGAAACCUGUCACAAAAUUCAGUUUCCAGUGUUUGUUACAACAGCAGCUACACUACACAGCACAAUUUACACAAAUUAAAAUAGGUUCUAUUGAAAAAUUUCCUUUUAUCAGUAAUUAACUUAAGAGUUUUGUUGUUUGAGAAGGUUCUAGAAACAUCGCAUCAGACAGUGGAAAAUCAGAGAUUAGAGUAAUAACUCACAGAACUGUAAAGCAACGAUGUGCUGACAAGCUAGUUUGAUUUAUUUAAAGCAAUACAUGACAGAAGGAAAUUGUUAAGUAAAAUGAAAGCAUUUUUUUCUUGUAAUAAAAUGGAGUUCCAUUUUUUUUUCUUUUUUUAAUGUAUGCAACAUUCAACACUGACUGGCAAUUUUUAAGAAUCACUGUUGUUUUGCAAGUUCCCAACCUGUAACAGCUUUUUUGUCAUUCAUUGAGCCAGAGAAGACCAAUUUUCUUGCAAACUAUUGACAUUUUCUCUUAGUUUGAGGUGAAAGUGUGAUUAUGUAAUAUUAAUCAGAGUCUGGCAGUCACAUUUUGCUGUGAUGGAUUAACUUCAGUACGAAUAAAAAACACAAAACAGA